rnacentral:rRNA from 1 species
AUCUAAAAAGCUAGCCCAAAGCCUUAAUUAAAAAUUAGAUAUUACUAGUAAUUAAAAACCCAACAUAAUCAACUAAAUCAUUUUUCCUCCUCAGUAUGGGAGACAGAAAAG